rnacentral:rRNA from 1 species
CUCUGGUAUUGAUUGGUGCUUGCAUCAUGAUUUACAUUUGAGUGAGUGGCGAACUGGUGAGUAACACGUGGGAAACCUGCCCAGAAGCGGGGGAUAACACCUGGAAACAGAUGCUAAUACCGCAUAACAACUUGGACCGCAUGGUCCGAGCUUGAAAGAUGGCUUCGGCUAUCACUUUUGGAUGGUCCCGCGGCGUAUUAGCUAGAUGGUGGGGUAACGGCUCACCAUGGCAAUGAUACGUAGCCGACCUGAGAGGGUAAUCGGCCACAUUGGGACUGAGACACGGCCCAAACUCCUACGGGAGGCAGCAGUAGGGAAUCUUCCACAAUGGACGAAAGUCUGAUGGAGCAACGCCGCGUGAGUGAAGAAGGGUUUCGGCUCGUAAAACUCUGUUGUUAAAGAAGAACAUAUCUGAGAGUAACUGUUCAGGUAUUGACGGUAUUUAACCAGAAAGCCACGGCUAACUACGUGCCAGCAGCCGCGGUAAUACGUAGGUGGCAAGCGUUGUCCGGAUUUAUUGGGCGUAAAGCGAGCGCAGGCGGUUUUUUAAGUCUGAUGUGAAAGCCUUCGGCUCAACCGAAGAAGUGCAUCGGAAACUGGGAAACUUGAGUGCAGAAGAGGACAGUGGAACUCCAUGUGUAGCGGUGAAAUGCGUAGAUAUAUGGAAGAACACCAGUGGCGAAGGCGGCUGUCUGGUCUGUAACUGACGCUGAGGCUCGAAAGUAUGGGUAGCAAACAGGAUUAGAUACCCUGGUAGUCCAUACCGUAAACG